UGACAACUAGCUAGCUCAGAAUUACAAGUGUUCGUUGACAACUAGGCGUUAAUGGAUAUUUAACGACAUUUGACGUACUGUGAAACGAGCAUACACACUCACGAACAGUCCCACGAUACAAACAAAGGCAAAACUCUGAGAUCUGAUCUCUCCCCCUGGCCCCCACUUUGUUUCCUGUUAUAGAAGUGGAGUAAGCACAAGGAGCUUCUAUUGACCCAGAUCUCCGCUUAGGAUUUCAGGGGCUCUUUCACGUACCACAAUCAGACCCACUUCGUCAUUCGGUUCAAACCCAGUCUAUUGAUCAAUCUCUAUGAUUCUUGACUGCUAAGUCUUCAGGGAUCUCAUUUGUGUGUUUGACACAAGAUAUCUUCAUGAAAUGAGAUCUGUAUAGUGAUCUAUUAAUACAUAAGUGGAAGUGAAAAGUUGUGAUUGAAGAGCUUGAAAACUAAAUAAAUGAUGAGGGGAAGAUCUGAUGGAACACAAAAGAAGCGUUUAAUCACUUCUUUGUGUGUUGUGGCAAUCUUUCUUGGUUUUCUGUAUGUAUACUAUGGAUCCAUUUUUGGCUCUACAAACCAUGGUACAUCUGCCCUAGAAUAUGGGAGCAGAUCUUUGAGAAGACUUGGUUCAUCGUAUUUGGGUGGGGAUGAAGAUGCUGAUAGCAAGCAAGAUGAAUCUUCAACAAGAUUUGGCCUAGAAAAUGGAGAGGAUGUUAUCACACCAAAGAGUCUCCCAGUUUGUGAUGAUCGACAUUCAGAACUAAUUCCCUGCCUAGACAGACACCUCAUAUACCAAAUGAGGUUGAAGCUGGACUUAUCUUUAAUGGAGCACUAUGAGAGACAUUGCCCUCUUCCAGAAAGGCGGUACAACUGCUUGAUUCCUCCUCCACGAGGAUACAAGGUCCCAAUCAAGUGGCCGGAAAGCAGAGAUCAAGUAUGGAAAGCAAACAUACCUCAUACUCACCUUGCACACGAGAAGUCUGACCAGAACUGGAUGGUUGUGAAAGGUGAAAAGAUUGUAUUUCCGGGUGGAGGUACUCAUUUUCACUAUGGAGCAGAUAAGUAUAUUGCUUCAAUUGCAAAUAUGCUAAACUUUUCACACAAUAAUAUAAACAAUGAAGGAAGAUUAAGAACAGUUCUUGAUGUUGGCUGUGGUGUUGCGAGUUUUGGAGCUUAUCUCCUCUCAUCUGAUGUUAUAACGAUGUCCUUAGCACCGAAUGAUGUGCAUCAAAACCAAAUUCAGUUCGCCCUAGAAAGAGGAAUUCCUGCAUAUCUUGGUGUUCUAGGAACCAAGAGGCUCCCUUACCCUAGCAGAUCUUUUGAACUUGCUCACUGUUCUCGUUGUAGGAUUGAUUGGCUUCAAAGAGAUGGAAUUCUUCUUCUUGAGCUAGAUAGAUUACUCAGACCAGGCGGCUAUUUUGCCUACUCAUCUCCCGAGGCAUAUGCUCAGGAUGAAGAGGAUCUCAGAAUAUGGAGAGAGAUGAGUGCCCUUGUGGGACGUAUGUGUUGGACAAUAGCUUCAAAGAGGAACCAAACUGUUAUUUGGCAAAAGCCUCUGACAAAUGACUGUUAUAUGGAAAGAAAACCUGGUACCCUCCCUCCUCUCUGCCAGUCUGGUGAUAAUCCAGAUAAAGUUUGGGGUGUGUCAAUGGAAGCAUGCAUCACACCAUACUCUGAUCAUGAUCAUAUGGUUAAGGGCAGUGGAUUGGCUCCUUGGCCAUCUAGGCUGACUGCUCCUCCUCCUCGACUUGCUGAUUUUGGCUAUUCAACUGACAUGUUUGAAAAGGACACGGAAGUUUGGAAAGAGAGGGUUGUGAGCUAUUGGAAUCUCUUGAGCCCAAAGAUUUCAUCAAACACACUGAGGAAUGUGAUGGACAUGAAGACAAACAUGGGUUCGUUUGCAGCUGCUCUGAAGGACAAGGAUGUUUGGGUCAUGAAUGUUGUCCCUGAAGAUGGACCAAACACGCUUAAGCUGAUAUACGACAGAGGCCUCAUAGGCACUGUUCAUGACUGGUGCCAAGCAUUUUCAACAUACCCUCGAACAUAUGAUCUACUCCAUGCUUGGACUGUCUUUUCUGACAUUGAGAAGAAAGAUUGCAGUCCUGAAGAUUUGCUGAUUGAGAUGGAUCGGAUACUUCGACCUACUGGUUUCAUAAUCAUCCGUGACAAGCUAGCAGUGAUAAAUUUCAUAAAGAAGUACUUAGUGCCGUUGCACUGGGAAGCAGUGGCGACAUCUGAUUCCAGUUCAGAUUCAGACCAGGAUGGAGACGACAUUGUGUUUGUUAUUCAGAAGAAAAUGUGGCUGACAAGUGAAAGCCUGAGGGAUUCGGAAUAGGACCGAUGGUUGCUUCUUUGUUCCCUGUUUCUCAUCUAAGUCUCUGCUCCCCCCCACAAGGGAUUACAACAUGUCCCAAGUAUUUAUUCAGAAAACAAUUAUAUUUUGUAGCAUUGAAUGAUUUUUACUAUAUUAUUUUUUAUUUCCUUUUUCUACAAUGAGUUUAGUCGAUAAGCCAUAGACUACAAGCAUCUAUAGACUAUUUCUUCAUCUUUUUCUUUUCUUUUUGAAAUAUGGGCAAUUGUGUAAACUGUUUCAGCAAUUGAUCAAUAACUAAAACAAAUAUUUGCUUCUGAAGUA